rnacentral:rRNA from 1 species
ACUCAAAUGAAUUGACGGGGACCCGCACAAGCGGUGGAGCGUGUUGUUUAAUUGGACGAUAAGCCAAGAACCUUACCAAGGCUUGACAUCCUGCGAAGUUCGCCGAAAGGCGAAUGUGCUUUUAGAACGCAGUGACAGGUGCUGCAUGGCCGUCGUCAGCUCGUGUCGUGAGAUGUUGGGUUAAGUCCCGCAACGAGCGCAACCCUUAUGGUUAGUUGAAUUUUUCUAGCCAGACUGCCCUGGUAACAGGGAGGAGGGAGGGGAUGACGUCAGGUCAGUAUUGCCCUUAUGCCUUGGGCUACAAACGCGCUACAAUGGCCGGUACAGAGGGCAGCCAAAUCGCGAGAUGGAGCUAACCCCACCAAAGCCGGUCUCAGUUCGGAUUGCAGGCUGAAACUCGCCUGCAUGAAGCUGGAAUCGCUAGUAACCGUAGGUCAGCACACUACGGUGAAUACGUUCCCGGGUCUUGCACACACCGCCCGU